CCUACGGGAGGCAGCAGUAGGGAAUAUUGCUCAAUGGGGGAAACCCUGAAGCAGCAACGCCGCGUGAGGGAUGAAGGUUUUCGGAUUGUAAACUCCUUUUGGUAGGGAAGAUAAUGACGGUAUCUAACGAAUAAGCACCGGCUAACUACGUGCCAGCAGCCGCGGUAAUACGGAGGGUGCAAGCGUUACUCGGAAUUACUGGGCGUAAAGGGCGCGUAGGCGGGAUAGCAAGUCAGAUGUGAAAUCCGAGGGCUUAACCCUAGAACUGCAUUUGAAACUGUUAUUCUAGAGUAUGGGAGAGGUAGGUGGAAUUCUUGGUGUAGCGGUAAAAUGCGUAGAGAUCAAGAGGAACACUCAUUGCGAAGGCGACCUGCUGGAACAUAACUGACGCUGAUGCGCGAAAGCGUGGGGAGCAAACAGGAUUAGAUACCCCGGUAGUC
rnacentral:rRNA from 1 species